rnacentral:lncRNA from 1 species
CUGGACUGUACUGCUGCCAUGUCGGCUCACUGCAACCUCCCUGCCUGAUUCUCCUGCCUCAGCCUGCCGAGUGCCUGCGAUUGUAGGCCCGCGCCGCCACGCCUGACUGGUUUUCGUAUUUUUUGGGUGGAGACGGGGUUUCGCUGUGUUGGCCAGGCUGGUCUCCAGCUCCUAACCGCGAGUGAUCCGCCAGCCUCGGCCUCCCGAGGUGCCGGGAUUGCAGACGGAGUCUCCUUCACUCAGUGCUCAAUGGUGCCCAGGCUGGAGUGCAGUGGCGUGAUCUCGGCUCGCUACAACAUCCACCUCCCAGCAGCCUGCCUUGGCCUCCCAAAGUGGCGAGAUUGCAGCCUCUGCCCGGCCGCCACCCCGUCUGGGAAGUGAGGAGCGUCUCUGCCUGGCCGCCCAUCGUCUGGGAUGUGAGGAGCCCCUCUGCCUGGCUGCCCAGUCUGGAAAGUGAGGAGCAUCUCUGCCCGGCCGCCAUCCCAUCUAGGAAGUGAGGAGCGCCUCUUCCCGGCCGCCACCCCAUCUAGGAAGUGAGGAGCGUCUCUCCCCGGCCGCCCAUCGUCUGAGAUGUGGGGAGCGCCUCUGCCCUGUCGCCUCGUCCGGGAUGUGAGGAGCGUCUCUGCCCGGCCGCCCCGUCUGAGAAGUGAGGAGACCCUCUGCCUGGCAACCGCCCUGUCUGAGAGAAGGAGGAUGGAAAGAACUGAGGAAGCAGUAAAAGCAUUCAGGCCGUACGAGCAUAUAGAAAAAACUUGCAAAGAAAAAUGAAGAAACGCCUGCUCAUUAGCCAUCUGCCACUUCACCAAUGCCAGGAAAUUCCGGGCAGCUGUUUUUUAUAAAGUGGAUAAUUCACAUAAUUGUGUUGGGGACUUCCAGCUAUGAAGAACUGUUAGAACAUUUGAAAAUUAGUGUUCCCAAGUUGUACUGUGAUACAAAAGCCCAGUGAAUUCUUCAAACUUCCACCUCUUACAGGAAUCUGAGAAAACCAGAUAAUGUUUACAUCUACGCAUGGGGAAGGAAGGCUUGGCAGAUUAUUGGUAUCGAAAGGAAUUCUUUUUAGUUAGUUUUUAACCCUACCUGUCUUGUGAAUGUGCUAUGUACAGGCUCUUUGUAAGUCUUCAACCAUGCAGCAAAAUCCAUCUAGCCACUCAAAGAUUGGUAAUAGCAUAAUUGUCUAAUGUGUGUCUUUUCAGGAAAUUGAAAUUGAUAUGUUGUAUCUCCCUCAUGCCAAAAUUUUAUAAAAAUCAUUUCUAAGCCUAAUGACAUGUAAACUGAAUUACCCCCUCCAAAUAUUUACUCUAAAAGCAAGUGGACAAUUUCUGUAGAAUUCCUAAGAUAAUCAUCUCCUGCUAAAAACAAAAUCUACAUUCAAUUUAUAAGAUGCCUUUGUAUUCUCUUUAAGAAGAUGAACCUAUAGUGAAAAAGCUCAAAAACAAAUUAAAUAUAAAACUUUCCUUCUACUAGUGGUGCUGGGCACCGAAUACCUGCAAUUUCACAUAAUGCAAAGCACAUUUGAGAACAAUGAACACACACCUCACGUUGACUUCCCCUCCUCUGACUUGAGCAAGAAAUUCCCCUUCUCUUCAUCUUGGUUAUUCCCUGUAAGUCUCAGUUUCCACAUCUCCACAGAACAGAGAAUAACAUGCAACCUGCUCCACACAGUGGUUGCAAGAAUUAAAUUUGAUCAGGCAAUCAAAUAUUUUGUACACAUUUCAUAUGCUCAGCUGCCUCAAGAAGCUCUAGUUAGACAAAACAAACAUGGUGGAAACAAUUGCAUGUAACUGAGGGCUAAAUAACAUGGAAAAGAUGCAACAUGUAUCCAUAGACUUGUGGACAGUGUAUUCACAGGAGGCAAUAAAGGCAGUGAGAAUACCUAGGAAAUGUUUCCUGGAAAUGCUAUCCUUGAUCUCAGCUUGAAGGAUGGUCAGAGGACAGGAUACAUACAGCCCCAAGAAGAGGAGAGGGGAUUCCAUCUACUCUUAUCUCUUUCACUCCCCUGCUCACAGUUGAUACUUAGCCAGCAUCACCUGGAAACAUGAGAGUUGAAAAGCAAAUCUCCAGACCCAUCCCAGUCCUAUGGACUCAGCACUCUCAGGUGGGGCUCAGAGAUCUGUUUUAACCAGCCUUCCAGCUGGACUUCUGAACACUCAAGUUUGGGAACCACUGCUGUUGCUUUGCUUGAUCUUACCUCCUCUCUUCGGUGACCACAAGUUCUUUCCACCUGACCAACUCCUGCAGUUUUUGCAGCUGUAAAUUUCACUUUCAUUUCCUCCAGAGAGCAUGCCCAACCUGCACUGGAGUCUAGUUUGUCCAUGCAUGUCCCAACCCCAGCCCUAGGUUAGGUAUUUUGGCCCUGUGUCAUACUUUCCUUGACAAGGUACUCAGGGCAUGUCAUUUUGCUUGUUUAAUUGCCUUCCUGAUAACCUACUAGCUCCAUAAAGGCAGGUACUGAGUCUAUUUUGUUCACAUCACUUCAUUCUCAGAGCCUUGCACACUGUAAGGUACUUUGUUAAUACCUGUUGGAUAAAUAAGUAAAUCAAAGAAGCCACGAAACAAUUGGUUUUGAAUAGUAUAAAGUACUAUAAAAUCAGGAAUAUGAUACAUAUACAAUUAACAGAUGCAUUUGAAGUACCGGUUGUAGAAACACAGCUGAGUUUAGUUUGUCUUUGAGAAGAGUUUCAUGAAGAGAUUUGGGUUUCGAAAAUCUCUGCACUGAAAAUGCUACCAAUGUCACACCAUAUCACCUGAUAAGGUAGUAUUGAUUGUUUGUUAUUAUCAUUCUUGGCAGUAUUGCUUGUUUGUCAUUAUCAUUCAUUUUUCCUCCAUGACCAGAUUUUUCUGCCUUUGGAGCAAUUUGGCCCACAGAGGCUGGCAGACAAAACAGCCUCUCACCAGUGCAAGAGAAGGGCUGUGGGGAGGCUUACAUCUAAGAUUUGUGGGUGAAUAUUGGAAACAGUAACUCUUCACUUUAUUAUAAAGAAAAAGCUUUGGACCAAGAGUCCUAACACCUGAAUUCUAACUCUGGCUUCCUUCCUUCCCUCAUUUAAAUAUUUAAAUAUUUACUCUAUUCCGGGCCCUGUGCUUGGAUCUGAGCCUACAAUGGCGAACAAGACAUACACGUAGUCCCUCCCUCACCAAACCUAAAGGUCUGCUCAUCUGCUAUGGGCUACAGCCACUCCUGACUCCUACAGGACACCGAAC